rnacentral:rRNA from 1 species
ACGGGUGAGUAAUGCCUAGGAAUCUGCCUAUUAGUGGGGGACAACGUUUCGAAAGGAACGCUAAUACCGCAUACGUCCUACGGGAGAAAGCAGGGGACCUUCGGGCCUUGCGCUAAUAGAUGAGCCUAGGUCGGAUUAGCUAGUUGGUGAGGUAAAGGCUCACCAAGGCGACGAUCCGUAACUGGUCUGAGAGGAUGAUCAGUCACACUGGAACUGAGACACGGUCCAGACUCCUACGGGAGGCAGCAGUGGGGAAUAUUGGACAAUGGGCGAAAGCCUGAUCCAGCCAUGCCGCGUGUGUGAAGAAGGUCUUCGGAUUGUAAAGCACUUUAAGUUGGGAGGAAGGGCAGUAAAUUAAUACUUUGCUGUUUUGACGUUACCGACAGAAUAAGCACCGGCUAACUCUGUGCCAGCAGCCGCGGUAAUACAGAGGGUGCAAGCGUUAAUCGGAAUUACUGGGCGUAAAGCGCGCGUAGGUGGUUUGUUAAGUUGGAUGUGAAAGCCCCGGGCUCAACCUGGGAACUGCAUCCAAAACUGGCAAGCUAGAGUACGGUAGAGGGUGGUGGAAUUUCCUGUGUAGCGGUG